UCCGUAGGUGAACCUGCGGAAGGAUCAUUAUCGAGUUUUGAAACCGAAGGUCUGUGCUGGUGCGGAAACGCGCAUGUGCACGGCUUUCGUGCUCAAAUCCAUUCAAACCCCUGUGCACUUUUGAACCGGUUGAAGCUAGUAGCUAGUAACACUUUCGACUCGAUGACUUAGUACUAUGAGUAAUACUAGUAGGAGGGCUUUGCGGCCUUUCGAACGUUGAAAGCAGGAAAACGUUAAGAGAAGAGAGGGUGAAGGCGAACGCUUUGACUAGUUUAUAUUACAAACCCUUUUAUUGUUAUGUGAAUGUAAUGCUCCUUGUGGGCGAUAAUGUUAUACAACUUUCAACAACGGAUCUCUAGGCUCUCGCAUCGAUGAAGAACGCAGCGAAAUGCGAUAAGUAAUGUGAAUUGCAGAAUUCAGUGAAUCAUCGAAUCUUUGAACGCACCUUGCGCCCCUUGGUAUUCCGAGGGGCAUGCCUGUUUGAGUGUCGUGUUAAUCUCAAAUCACUUGUCUUAUGUCUGCUCCUUGAUUGAAGUAGGCUGACUUGCGAUUUGGACUUGGAGGUUUAUGCUGGCCCGGGCGACUUUGUUGUUGCCCUUUGGUUCGUCGGCUCCUCUUAAAUACAUUAGCUGGACUUUGGUUCGCGUUUUAUGGUGUAAUAGUGUUAUUAUGCUUCACCGGAGCGCUUGCCUAACGGGUCUGCUUCUAAUCGUCCGUGUUACUUUUUGUGACAAUAGGACAAGGAUCCCUUAGUGGCCCUUAACUCUGACACCUUUGACCUCAAAUCAGGUAGGACUACCCGCUGAACUUAAGCAUAUCAAAUAAGCGGAGGA
rnacentral:sRNA from 1 species